rnacentral:rRNA from 1 species
UACGUAGGGGGCAAGCGUUGUCCGGAAUCAUUGGGCGUAAAGCGCGUGUAGGCGGCUCGAUAAGUCCGCUGUGAAAGUCCAGGGCUCAACCCUGGAAUGCCGGUGGAAACUGUCGGGCUAGAGUCCGGAAGAGGCGAGUGGAAUUCCUGGUGUAGCGGUGAAAUGCGCAGAUAUCAGGAGGAACACCAAUGGCGAAGGCAGCUCGCUGGGACGGUACUGACGCUGAGACGCGAAAGCGUGGGGAGCAAACGGG